AAUGCAAAAGCAAUCAUCAAGUUUAUUAGGGCAAUGAAGAGAACAGGAAUUAUCAGGACCAGGAUCCAAACACCAAUGUAAGGAUGCACAGUUUUCACGCUUAUUCAUGCACAUCCACAAGAGAAUUCUUCUCAUUCAGGUCCAAGACCCUCAUCUGAUGGUGAAAAUGCCCACACCCAGGAGACUGACCUGUAUGCACUUCAUCAAAGAGCCUGCAUUUCUUCUGGCUUUGAUUGAGUUGAGCCAAUGAGGAGCAUAGUCAGAGAUCUGGAGGAAGAAAGGAGAGUGCGGAGUCCUUUUGGAUACAAGCAACAGUAGGUGGACUAAUCUGAGCUUGGAUAAGAAGUGGAUUUACUGAAAGGACAUCUGGAGUAGAAUUGCUGGGUCCUGUAUUUCUAACAAUCCUGUGAGAUCGGUAUAAAUGGGAACAUUAAAACACUGGCUAUAUAUCAGAGAAGCUCAAGGCAAGUUGAUUUGUGCUGUACACUCUCAGUGCAAUACAUCUGGAAUAUGUCACAUGUCUUUGGACAGAAAAAUCUUUCCAUGGUACCAAAAGCAACGGGAGGUAAGAAAAACGGGAAAAAAAGAGAAGAAAGAAGUAAAAGUGCCAACUUUUGUUCUAGGAAAAUGGAUGGGGGCUGCAUUUCCUGCAAUAGUCUCAAUAUGGAAUUUCUCGUAGAUUAGGCUCUCAAACCAAAACCAUCCCCUGGAUCAAUGAAGCAGUAAAACGUGGUCCGUAACCGAGAUUCCUAAUUCAUAUGAGGAAGAGGGGGGUUUGACCAGGCCUCCGCCUUAUUGCGCUGAGCUUAUAUUCCAUAUCUGCCAGGUCGUUCCUGCUCUGAGAGUACACUUAUGGCUCAGGCUUUCUGCGGAAGAAGCUGGCCCUGGAAUAGUUCAAAUCUGAAAGGCAAGGCGUGUGUCUGUACAAGUGCCACUUAUUCUUAGUCACAUGAACCAUGAAUUCAAGGUUCUAAGGCUCAGAACAUGGGAUGAGGCGCUUCUGGUAGGAGGAGGAAGGGAUAAUGGCCACUGAGGUGCUGUUUUCUGAAUAGAGGAUGAUCCUGUUGCUUCCCUAAAAAGAUUCCUACCCACAACACAUUCUCUCCUCCACUUCAUAACUUCUUUCCCAAAGAUAUUUAUGAGAGGACCUCUGGAGAGCGCUGGUGCCUGUGGCUGCAGUCCCUUCCCAGGAUACACUGCCCAGGCUGCAGCCACAGGCUCUCCCUGGCCUGCUGUCACCUCCUCUUCUGCACUGCUAGCUCCCCUGGGACCUUGCAAGGCAGAAUAUGUGAACAGAUCAGAGCAACUCUUCCUCUCACCACUUCUCUUACACUGAGGACACAAGCUUGUGAAUAUGUUUUCAGUUGGGCCUGUGGCCUGUGGAGAGUGAUAUGACUACACUGGAAAAAGGCUUCUCUUUGGUGGAUAUUAGUGCCCCCAGAGCAAAGAAGGUGCUAAGCAGCUCUGAAUUAUGAAGAAAAAAAUAAAAUAGGGAGAUAUGAUAUAGCGAGUUGAAGGGGCUAGUUUAUCAAUAUCAGGGA